rnacentral:rRNA from 1 species
AAUAUGAAGGCUUCGGCUGGAUUAUUUUUAUCACCCUUGUCUUUUGCGCACUUGUUGUUUCCUGGGCGGGUUCGCCCGCCACCAGGACCACACCAUAAACCUUUUUUUAUGCAGUUGCAAUCAGCGUCAGUAUAACAAAUGUAAAUCAUUUACAACUUUCAACAACGGAUCUCUUGGUUCUGGCAUCGAUGAAGAACGCAGCGAAAUGCGAUACGUAGUGUGAAUUGCAGAAUUCAGUGAAUCAUCGAAUCUUUGAACGCACAUUGCGCCCUUUGGUAUUCCAAAGGGCAUGCCUGUUCGAGCGUCAUUUGUACCCUCAAGCUUUGCUUGGUGUUGGGCGUCUUUUGUCUUUGGCCUCGCCCAAAGACUCGCCUUAAAACGAUUGGCAGCCGGCCUACUGGUUUCGCAGCGCAGCACAUUUUUGCGCUUGCAAUCAGCAAAAAGGACGGCAAUCCAUCAAGACUACAUUUUUACGUUUGACCUCGGAUCAAGUAGGGAUACCCGCUGAACUUAAGCAUAUCAGUGAGCGGAGGA